rnacentral:rRNA from 1 species
UACGUAGGGGGCUAGCGUUGUCCGGAUUUAUUGGGCGUAAAGAGCGUGUAGGCGGCCAGAUAGGUCUGCUGUGAAAACUCGAGGCUCAACCUCAAGCUGUCGGCGGAAACCAUUUGGCUAGAGUCCGGAAGAGGAAAGUGGAAUUCCUGGUGUAGCGGUGAAAUGCGCAGAUAUCAGGAGGAACACCGGUGGCGAAGGCGGGUCUCUGGGCCGUAACUGACGCUGAGGAGCGAAAGCAUGGGGAGCGAACGGG